rnacentral:rRNA from 1 species
UACAGAGGUCUCAAGCGUUGUCCGGAAUCAUUGGGCGUAAAGAGCGUGUAGGCGGCCCGGUAAGUCCGCUGUGAAAGUCCAGGCUCAACCCUGGGAUGCCGGUGGAUACUGUCGGGCUCGAGUCCGGAAGAGGAGUGUGGAAUUCCUGGUGUAGCGGUGAAAUGCGCAGAGUAUCAGGAGGAACACCAAUGGCGAAGGCAGCACUCUGGGACGUGACUGACGCUGAGACGCGAAAGCGUGGGGAGCAAACAGG